rnacentral:rRNA from 1 species
AUUGAACGCUGGCGGCAGGCCUAACACAUGCAAGUCGAACGAGAGGCGGACGGGUGAGUAAUGUCUGGGAAACUGCCCGAUGGAGGGGGAUAACUACUGGAAACGGUAGCUAAUACCGCAUACCAUCGGAUGUGCCCAGAUGGGAUUAGCUAGUAGGUGGGGUAAAGGCUCACCUAGGCGACGCUCCCUAGCUGGUCUGAGAGGAUGACCAGGCAAACGUGGACCUGGAACAGGUCCAGACUCCCACGGGAGGUAGGAGGGGGGAAUAUUUGACAAUGGGGGGAAGCCCGAUUGAGCCAAGCCCGGUGUGUGAAGAAGGGCUUCGGGGUGGAAAACUAUUUUAGCGGGGAAGCGUUACCCGCAGAAAAAGGAACGGCUAACUUCCUGCCAGGAGCCGGGGUAAUAC